GUCAUGACUCAUUGUUUACUAUCGCCUAUUAGUUAAUGCCGGCUUACAUAAUGAUUUAUUGUAUAUAUUUAUAACAGCAAUUAUACAUACUUUAUUUCGUUGGGCUAUUAGGUAUUACGUGUUAUUAUCGUAUCACAUUGUGUCAUGUAGUUUAUAUACCACAAAUAUUACUUCAAAGAAUUUAUGAUGCUCAUAACUGCUGCUUUAUCUUAUGCUUCCUGUUUUUACCCGACUGCGCCAGAAGGAGGGUUAUGUUUUUCGAGUGUAUGUAUGUAUGUAUGUAAGUAUGUAUGUAUGUAUGUAUGUAUGUAUGUAUAAUUGUUUGGCACGCUCUACAGCCUAAACGGCUUGAUGGAUUUUGACUUGAGAGGUGUCGUUAGAUUCGUAUUUACUGUGAGAGUGACACUGGGUAUAUCAAAAUAAUAAAAAAACAAAAUGGCGGAUUUUUGGCGCCAAAUUCGAAUAUUUCUCACUCUCUAGCCUAAACGACUUGAUGGAUUUUAACUUGAGAGGUGUCGUUAGAUUCGUAUUUACUGUGAGAGUGACACUGGGUAUAUCAAAAUAAUAAAAAAACAAAAUGGCGGAUUUUUGGCGCCAAAUUCGAAUAUUUCUCACUCUCUAGCCUAAACGACUUGAUGGAUUUUAACUUGAGAGGUGUCGUUAGAUUCGUAUUUACUGUGAGAGUGACACUGAAUAUAUCAAAAUAAUAAAAAAAAACAAAA